AUAACACAGGUAUAAAUACCCAGGGACUCUUAGGGAAAACAGGUGACACCAGGAGAUGGGUAGAGACAAUCACAGAGACAGGUGAAACAGAUCAGGGCGUGACACUAAGUGGUUGUAUUAGGGGCGUGUCAUGUGUGUACAUGCGUGCAUUAGCAGGGCGGCCAUGGUGGAGUAUACGGGGGAUGGUUCUGGUUGGCCGGUCGAGAUCAAAGUCUUGGGUUGUUUUUUACUCCCAGUCCGUCUCUGGCUCUGUUUGUUUCUUUUUGUCUCUCACAAGGUAAAUAUCUUAGGGUUUCAGUGGGUAUUGUGUGAUUUUAGUGUAAAUUAUUAUUUUUGAAUUUUAAGUGCUCUUUAUGCUUACUUCUUCCUCUUUCAAUCAUGUAUUUAAAUUAUGAAGUUUGCCGUGGUUCAGUUCCUGAAUGAAAAGAAUGAGCCAUAUGCAGUAUUUAAACAAGUAUGGCUCAAAAGAUGACAUCUGUUAUUGGCCACCACUAAGCCUCAGAAAGAAGAACAAAAUAAAUAAAAAAUUGCAGAUACUGUCAUUUUAACUGUUAGCAUAAUUAACUUGCCAGAUGUGAAAGUGUUUUGGGCUCUGACCUGGUUCAUGCCUCUACUGAUCUAGACAAUUGGGAUACGGUACUGAUGUAUUGUAAACGGUUCCAAGCGGGUUCCAGUGUUGAAACGACAGAUGAUGAGCAAAUAAAAAAAUGGAGAACUGCAAUUAGCAAGUACCAAUUCCAGGAUUCUGAUGAAGGUGAAGAUGAGUCUACUCUUCCAGACGAACCGCCAGUCCCAUCGUAUCAGGAGUCUCUAUCGAACCAUGAAAACAUUGCAGUGCCAGCAGACUGUAGAGCUGGUAUGUAAAAUAACAUGCUUGAUUAUAUGUGAAAUUCCAUUUCUGAACAAUAAUCAGCUUUCAUGGUCAAUUUCCAUUUUUUUUUAUCGAAAACAAGUAAAUGAAGCAUUAAUCUUUUUUUUUUAAAUCCAUUGGAGGAUGUAUUCUGUCCUGCCAAAUAUUGAGGGAAUUUCAGAGGAGAAACAAGCCCCUUUAAUAAUGUAAUUUGUCUCUCAAUUAGGACAAGCACCAUACUCCACCAAAGGAGGUUGUUGGCACCUUAAUUGGUGAGGACGGGAUCGUGGUAAUGGCUAGAGCGGAAAGGGUGGACUGUUUGAUGCCGUUCCAUUUGCUCCGUUCCAGCCAUUAUUAUGAGCCAUUCUGCCCUCAGCAGUCUCCACUGUAUUCCACAGCAUCAUAUUCACCACAGCAGCAUGUGUAUGACAGCCAUGGAGAAAUCCAAGGACUCCGGCAGGAAAACAAAUUUCUGACGCACUGAGAGAAGAAGUUAAGGUGCUAAGGUGUGGGCAAGGACGUCCGGGUGGUAUCGGAUCACUGAGUGAAGAGGUGGUGCAGGUUGCUACCAUGCUAAGGACAUUUGCUGCUACUGGGCAAUCAGAUCCAAUAUAACACUUUUGCUGCGGCAUAUGGGAACAGUGGAUGAUCGAACUCUUGAGAUGGAUAACAAGAUGAAUACCUUGUUAGCCUAUCAACAGGCCAAUGGGAGCCAUUCAGCAGAACACUGAAAUCCAGGAUGCCAUGGACAAAGUGGUCCAGAUUCAAGUCACCCGUUACCUGAAAGGGGCCUCCGAUCAUGAAGGUGAGAGAAGACGGCGCACAGGGUGGAGAAAUUUGCUCCAGUGCGGGUCAACAUCAAGUCUGCCCUUAUUUUGAAGAUGUCAUCCAGAAACAGGUGUUUUAUACAACAUCCUUCUGUGUUCUCUUUAGGACUCUCUCUACAUUUGGCAAUCAUCUCUCUGCUUCCAAUUGUAUAAAAAAAGCCACAUGGCAGACCAAUCUGAACUCAUUUCUCGGCAUGUCCAGCUCAUCCAACACCUCAGCUAAUCAUGACUAGUGGGAAGGUUCCUGUAUUUUUCUAUGCUCGUAAUUUAGCAAUUGUGUUCAAAAUAUGCAUUUUGAUAAAACAAUAAAGAAAAUGAAUGCCUCACAUGUAGUAGUGAGGUUUGACAUUCAAACGGGUUUUAUUUUGUCCAUGACAUUUCUUUUUCUUAAUUUUUUUCUUUUCUAAAUUAGUAUUGUAAGCUUAGGUUUACAAAAAUAAAAUUGAUUCUUCUGUAACUUUGACAAUUAAAAAGGUGUGGAG